CGGAAACCGGAGCUAAUACCGGAUAAUAUAUUGAACCGCAUGGUUCAAUAGUGAAAGACGGUUUUGCUGUCACUUAUAGAUGGAUCCGCGCUGCAUUAGCUAGUUGGUAAGGUAACGGCUUACCAAGGCAACGAUGCGUAGCCGACCUGAGAGGGUGAUCGGCCACACUGGAGCUGAGACACGGUCCAGACUCCUACGGGAGGCAGCAGCU
rnacentral:rRNA from 1 species